UCUCUAAAGGCCUGGCCUGGCACAGCUAACACAAGAGGCCCAGCCCAUCUGGAAUCUGAGCGGAGUCCUAGUAUGGCUAAGGUUAUAGCAAAUGGGCAACUUGGCCUGGCAAAGAGAAGCAGCUUGUGGCUGCAGGAGAGGAAGAAAUGGAAAUGUUUCCAUUAUAAUUAAAUUUGCAAAGCAGCCAAGAAAGGGAAAUAGUGUACUAUGAACGGCACCAUGAAUAUGAACUGACUGACCGUGUACCAGACGAUAUCAGACACAGUUUGUCAAUAGUUUUCAGAAUGUACUAACUGAUUCGUCGGCAAAAGAGCUCAGUACAGGAUUGGGUAGUUAUUCGGAUUCACAACCGAGCUAGAUAAUGAACUUUUGUUUCCGGAAGAUACAAGCGUGUAGACAGAAAAAAAAGAAGAGCGUAAAACGGAGUCCAUUUUUGUGUUUCACCGGAACAACAGACAAACAACAACCCCUAACAUUCCAAACUGUGCUCUCAUCUAAUGAAAACACUCGACCCCAUAGCGCAUUUAAAACCUAGCACAUAAGAGGACGUUGCAUGGAAGAAGGGAUGGGAGACAGGAGGCUAGAAGAGGUAUACAAUUAAAAAGAAGGUUUGUUGCCCCAAAGCAGCUUCUUUAUUUUGAAAAAAAGUAAUGAAAAGAUUUUGUGGCGUCCUGCUGCUUUAGAAAAGGCACGGGCUUUGUGCACUGAGGGGGAAGGGGGGCGCUGGGGACUUUGCUGGGCUGCAGCUCCUAGGCUCGGUUCCUGUCCGCUAGAUGGCAGCCGGAUCCAGCGAUUCCACUACCAGACAGUUGGAAGAGAGAGAGAGAGCAACCCCCCACCCCCCUACCCCCGCACAUACUCCAACCUUCACUCUCUCUCUCUCUGGGACUUUCGUUUACCAGCAUUGAUCUUCCCAGACAACAAAACGAGAACUUACUUUUGUUUUAUUAAUAAUUAUUGAAGCAUUGCCGGCUGUUUAAACAGCCUUGGAAAGGGACACUAUUGGAAAGUGUAAUCAUCAUCAUAAUUAAUAGUAGCCCUUCCAGGGGAAAGUGUUGAUUUCUGCUCUCAUUUUACGACACCGAGAAUUCCACCAGUGUCAUUGAUCGUAAUUAAAAAUAUCAAAGGAGGAAGAAUAUUUUAGGUAAUAAAUGGGAGCCAGCACUGUGGUAUAGCAAAAAAGCAAAGCUGAAGUUUUUAUAUAUAUAAUAAGCAAUGUAAGUGGGUAUAUGUAUAUAUUAUUACACUAUAUAUGUGUGUGUGUUCCACAAAGCAAUUUUUUUUACUUUCAGUAAUUAAAAUUUCUAAUAAGGUUUUUCAAUUGGAAACAUACAGAAAUCUAAUUAACCUAACCCCCCCCC